GUCAGGAUGGCUGAGUGGUCUAAUGACCUGUGUUCAGGUUGCAGUCUCCUCUGGAGGUGUGGGUUCAAAUCCCACUCCUGAUA
rfam:Erinaceus europaeus unplaced genomic scaffold scaffold01618, whole genome shotgun sequence